rnacentral:lncRNA from 1 species
AUGGAUAAUAGUUAUAUGGCAUAACAAUUACAAAAUCUAGAAUGUAUCAAACUAUUAUUAUUGAAUAUCUGUCGAAUGUGAAGUGAGUUUUGAAAUACAUUAACCACAUAAAUCUAAUAAAAAUAAGUUAGCAAAAUCUAAUAUGUGGUACAGUGACUGCUUUGUAAAAGACAUUCCAAAAAUAUUUGAUGUAUAUAAAAGGAAACAGAAAAAUGUUAAUCUGUAAAGACAUUAAAAUCAGGUAAAUAAAAAAAUAUAUAGAUGGAGACCACUUAACAACUUUAAAAAUGUUAUUUUUUUCUAAACAUUUAAUAACACUAACUACAAGAAUAUUUUUCUAUUACGAAUUUAAAAAUUCCAUCCAAUUCCCCAGAAAAGUUUAGAAUAAACUAGCUCAAUAAGAGGAGAGAAGGAAAAAAAAAAGAUUUAUAGAAAAUGGUUUAUAGAAUGAAAUAAAAGUAGGCUGGUAACGAUGAAAGCUAUUAAUCAAUUGAGAACUAGGCAAGGGAAAAACUGGAAUGGCAGAUCCUAUUCACUUUAUGGAUCAAGUUACAAUGUUUGGGAAGCAUUCAAACAGCAAUGGAAAUUUAUGGACAGACUUUAAGCAGGAAAGUUACGUAUUUAUUUUUGUGAAGUUACUCCAACUGCUUUUGGAAAGUGCAUUAGAGUGGCUCAAAGGAAGAAUUGAAAACACGAUGGCUAAGUGAGUUUAUUUUGCAGUAGUUUAGGAGAUAUGUUGGAUUCUCUGAUAAAGUAGUUAGUAAAAGAAAUAGCAGGAGAUUGGCUGAAUCAAUAAAUGUUUUGAGUUAGAAUUGCUGUCUGUUAAUUUUGUGAAAGUAAAGCACCAGCAAAAAAUGACUACUCGUGUAUAGUAUGAUCAACUGAGUGUAUGGAGGUGUUGUUGUCCUCUUAUUGUUAUUAUUACUCUUAUAAUUAUUUUAAUUAUGAAAUAUAAUUGAAUAGUGGAAAGAAUAUAAGAUUCAGAAUCUGACAAGUUAGCUCUGAUUCCCUACUCUGUCAUGUAUUUUUAUGUGAUAUUGAACAAGCCACCUAAUUUCUGAGAUGUAAAUUCUUCAUUAAUCCAAAAUAUUAAUCCAUUUAACUUUUGAGCUAGUUUUGAAAUUCACAUAUGUUUAUAGGUUUUAAAUAAAUAUCAUUAAAUUUUUGUGCAACUUUCCACAACCAUAGGAAAUGCCUAUAAAAAUAAUGCCCAUAAAAAUAAAAAUCAGUCCCUGGGAGGUGGAGGUUGCAGUGGGCCAAGAUUGCACCACUGUACCCCAGCUUGGGCAACAAGAGUAGAACUCCGUCUCAAAAAAAAAAAAAAAAAAGAAUUAAAAAAUAAAAAAAAAAAUAAAUAAAAAUUAGUCUUCACAUAUGCUUAAAAGAAAAUAAUAUUGCGAUUUUUCAUUUCUCAUCUUUUCUCCCAUAACACAAUUUUGAUACAUAUCUCAAACAUGAAUGUCUUGGUAUAAAUACAUAUUUUCAUGAGACAUGAGAAAAGGUAGUCAAAAAAUGAUUUGGUUUGUGUUUUUCACAUAAUUUCAUGCCCUAUGCUACAAUGAAUUGUGGAUAAAAAUCAUUAAAGUCUACUUCAAACUCAUUGUACAUGGCUCAUAAAAAGUACUUACUGUUUGGAUCUAAUUCUCAGAAUGAUCAUUCUGGUAAUCCUAAAUCUAAUAGAAACUCAAUAGCCAGC